rnacentral:rRNA from 1 species
UAAUACGGAGGGCGCAAACGUUACUCGGAAUCACUGGGCAUAAAGGGCAUGUAGGCGGCCCGACCAGUCAGAUGUGAAAUCCUUCGGCUCAACCGAAGAACUGCAUUUGAUACUGUCGGGCUCGAGGAUGGUUGGGGUAAGCGGAACUCCUGGUGGAGCGGUGAAAUGCGUAGAUAUCAGGAGGAACACCAGUGGCGAAAGCGGCUUACUGGACCAUUUCUGACGCUGAGGUGCGAAAGCUAGGGUAGCGAACGGGAUUAGAUACCCCGGUAGUCCUAGCCGUAAACGAUGGGCACUAGGUUGGGGGAACUCCUAUGGUUUUCCCAGCUGUAGCAAAUGUGUUAAGUGCCCCGCCUGGGGAGUACGCACGCAAGUGUA